GGCUACCAACACCAACAGCCAAUGGCAAUUCAGUAAUCCCACAUGCAUCGAUCUAUCUUUUUUAAACAGUACUUUUCCAUACCUUAAACACCCAAAUUUUUCUCUCCCUUUCUCUCUAAACAAACAUCAACCAUGGCUCUCUUUAAUUCCAAAAUCACGCUCUUUUUUUGCACGCUAAGUUUCUUCGCUCUCUUUCUUUUCCCACUACUCUCUCUUUCCGCUUCCAUCCAUGACCUCCUUAUCUCAAAAGGGUUACCUGCUGGUCUCCUUCCAAAGGAAGUGAGAUCCUACAAUCUCUCUGAAAAUGGCUACCUGGAGGUGUUUCUUGAUGGACCUUGCUUGACUAAGUUUGAGAACAGGGUCUUCUUUGAAAGUGUAGUGAGGGCCAAUCUCACCUACCGGAGUCUCACCGGAGUUGUUGGUUUGUCCCAAGAAGAACUCUUCCUUUGGUUGCCUGUUAAAGAUAUCAUUGUUGAUGACCCGAGAUCAGGGCUUAUAAUGUUCGACAUUGGCGUUGCUCAUAAACAGCUUUCUUUAUCUCUCUUUGAAGAACCACCUGAUUGCAAGCCUCAAGGUACAUGGGUUGUUCUUGCUUUCAAAGCACAUUACCUUAAUCUUUCUUAAUUAAGUAUUUCCUUAAACAUGACCAAGGAUUGGGAUUUGCGUUGGUGGGUGAUUUGUCAGUUAAUAAAUAGCAGUUUCUGCUUGCACAUGAAUUUCUGUUAAGAGUUUAAGCGCAGAAAAGGAAACAGCUUUAGAACUUUAACGCCUAAUAGCCUGACAAAUUCCAGUAACAUUCAAGGCUAGUAUAGUGUUUCAGUAACUGAUUACAGAGUCUGUUUCCUCUUUCUUUUUCAGUACUUGGUUUUCUUUUUGUCUAUUUCCCCAGAAAAUUCCCUAAACCCCAAGAAAACUAUAACACUAGUGUGUUUUGAUUUAGUGAAGAAAACAAUAAAAUUGUAUAAUUUUUUUUGGCAAUGAUAUUGUUUAAUUAAUUGGUAAUCAUGUGAAUGUACAGGUGAGUUGAAGAAGAAUGGCGUGAGGAAAGAGAAAGGAUUUGAGGCAUGGAGAUAGAUUGAGAUGCUUCCCUGUUUUAGCUUUUGUCUUUUCUUAAUUUAUCUCCCAUAUAAUGUUAUGCGGUUGUGGAAAUGGACUAAGUAUGGGGCCUAGUUUCUCUAAUCAUAGUUUUUUUGUUAAUAUUAAUUAAUUUUUCAGGUGUUAUUAGAUUAGAAAUGAAA
rnacentral:misc_RNA from 1 species